GGGUUCCGGAAAAGAGAGGCCGCUUCCGGCUGCUCGACUGUCCUGUCGCUGUGCCGCUGGAUUUGGUCGCCUACGCCACCUGCGCCGGAGAAAGCUCUGGCCACAGGAGAGGAAGGAAGUGGUCCAGCGGAUGAUUAUCAGUCAGGACGGUGCAGAAGGGGCUUCUGCUCUGGACUGGGAGUGAGGGUGGCCUAGGUGAGAGAUCCCCUCUGAUGCUCUCCUCCUCUCUCCGUCAGGUUCCACAUAGAUACGUUUGUGCCCUGGUCCGGGAAGAUCCCACAUGCCGCGGAGCGGCUGGGCCCGUGAGCCAUGGCCGCUGAGCCUGCGCGUCCAGAUCCUGUGCUCCGCAACAGGAGCGGUCACAACAGUGAGAGGCCCGCGUACCGCAAAAAAAAAAAAAAAAAAAAACCAACUCUGAGUGAGUGGUUCACA